UCCUCCCUCUGUCGGCGUGCUUAACACAUGCAAGUCGAACGGAAAGGCCCUGCUUUUGUGGGGUGCUCGAGUGGCGCACGGGUGAGUAAAACGUGAGUAACCUGCCCUUGACUUUGGGAUAAAUUCAGGAAACUGGGGCUCAUACCGGAUAGGAGAUCCUGCUGCAUGGUGGGGGUUGGAAAGUUUCGGCGGUUGGGGAUGGACUCGCGGCUUAUCAGCUUGUUGGUGGGGUAGUGGCUUACCAAGGCUUUGACGGGUAGCCGGCCUGAGAGGGUGACCGGCCACAAUGGGACUGAGAGACGGCGCAGACUCCUACGGGAGGCAGAAGUGGGGAAUAUUGCAGAAUGGGCGGAAGCCUGAUGCAGCAACGCCGCGUGCGGGAUGACGGCCUUCGGGUUGUAAACCGCUUUCGCCUGUGACGAAGCGUGAGUGACGGUAAUGGGUAAAGAAGCACCGGCUAACUACGUG
rnacentral:rRNA from 1 species